GUGGAUCAAAACAAAAACAACAGAGGCAUGAUAGUGUAUAGGAAAUUGACAUGGCAAGGGCCCAUACCUCUCCAGUCCGUUUAGGUACUUGUCAUAGACAGAGAAAUGAAGCCGACCACCUGUUGAGAUGGUAAGAACCUCAAAAAGAUUUUCACAAAUAAUCACAUUGGCAAUGAUUGGAACUGCAGGAGCUAUUCGAGAGAAAGCCUCUAUCCCGAUUCACAGAUCAUCAUCUAACUGCAU
rnacentral:lncRNA from 1 species